GAUGAAGAACGCAGCGAAAUGCGAUAAGUAAUGUGAAUUGCAGAAUUCAGUGAAUCAUCGACUCUUUGAACGCACAUUGCGCCCGCCAGUAUUCUGGCGGGCAUGCCUGUUCGAGCGUCAUUACAACCCUCAGGCCCCCGGGCCUGGCGUUGGGGAUCGGCGGAAGCCCCCUGCGGGCACAACGCCGUCCCCCAAAUACAGUGGCGGUCCCGCCGCAGCUUCCAUUGCGUAGUAGCUAACACCUCGCAACUGGAGAGCGGCGCGGCCACGCCGUAAAACACCCAACUUCUGAAUGUUGACCUCGAAUCAGGUAGGAAUACCCGCUGAACUUAAGCAUAUCAAUAAGCGGAGGA
rnacentral:misc_RNA from 1 species